AUCUGGCGGUUUACAUGGUAGAAGAUAUCAGUAUAAAAAAUAGAUAUCAUCGAUCAUGUAUGCUGUCAGAU
rnacentral:pre_miRNA from 14 species